AUGGAGAUUCCCAUGGGGACCCAGGGCUGCUUCUCAAAGAGCCUCCUGCUCUCAGCCCUUCCCUGUAACUUCCCACAGCCUCAAUCCUGGUCCUCUGGAUGCUCCAAGGCUCCCAGGCAGCUCUCUACAUCCAGAAGAUUCCAGAGCAGCCUCAAAAGAACCAGGACCUUCUCCUGUCAGUCCAGGGUGUCCCAGACACCUUCCAGGACUUCAACUGGUACCUGGGGGAGGAGACGUACGGAGGCACGAGGCUAUUUACCUACAUCCCUGGGAUACAACGGCCUCAGAGGGAUGGCAGUGCCAUGGGACAGCGAGACAUCGUGGGCUUCCCCAAUGGUUCCAUGCUGCUGCGCCGCGCCCAGCCUACAGACAGUGGCACCUACCAAGUAGCCAUUACCAUCAACUCUGAAUGGACUAUGAAGGCCAAGACUGAGGUCCAGGUAGCUGAAAAGAAUAAGGAGCUGCCCAGUACACACCUGCCCACCAACGCUGGGAUCCUGGCGGCCACCAUCAUUGGAUCUCUUGCUGCCGGGGCCCUUCUCAUCAGCUGCAUUGCCUAUCUCCUGGUGACAAGGAACUGGAGGGGCCAGAGCCACAGGAUGGCGACCACAGAGAAGCCAGAAUUGGGCCCUGCUCAUGAUGCUGGUGACAACAACAUCUAUGAAGUGAUGCCCUCUCCAGUCCUCCUGGUGUCCCCCAUCAGUGACACAAGGUCCAUAAACCCAGCCCGGCCCCUGCCCACACCCCCACACCUGCAGGCGGAGCCAGAGAACCACCAGUACCAGGACCUGCUAAACCCCGACCCUGCCCCCUACUGCCAGCUGGUGCCAACUUCCUGAUGGGUCCUGGGCCAGGCCAGCCAGGGAGAAGACAAGGCCCCAGCCCUCCUCUGGGAGCCUCACACCUGAGACCAGCAGGACAAGGCCAUUGGGGGCUGUGGGGCCGAUGAGGUGGACUCAGCCAAAGACUCAGCAGCACAUGGGGCAGGUGUCCUGGCAGGGGGACAGGAGACUGUAACAGGCCCAGGUCCUUGUGCAGCCCGUGAAUGCACGCCCGCCUUCGGUCUGUUCCUUCAAGCAAGCUGGCCUGGGCCAUGUGCCUGUGAAAGGCAGGCUCUGGCCCCUUUCCAUGCCAAAGUCCCCCAAGAUCUGGAUAUCUGGGGACAAGAUGGUGGCCUCAGGCCUGCCUCCCAGGCAGUUGGCUGGGCUCCCAACUGUCUGUCCUCAAUGCCCUACCCCAACUCCACUAGUGACCCUCAGAGUCUUCUCCCCUUAGGACAAGGCAGACACCCCACCAUGCGGGCCUCAGGUGGCAGAGAGGCCCAGCCUCACAGGCCUGUGGCCCCACACACCAGUCCCAGCAAGGUGACCACGGCUGCUGGACCCCUUCCCUGUUCAGGCAGGCCCAGCCCCUCUCAGAACCUGCUGCCAGCUGCUGGUCUUGGCCCCCACCCUGAAUCUUACUGAGUCCCUCUGGGCAGCAGCUCCCUUCUCCACCCCACCCCAGCACCCGUCCCAAAUGUGGCCUCAGCUUGUCCUCCCCUUCCCCAAACUAUGCAUUCAUUCAGCAAUAAAUGAGCCUUUGCUGUAUGCCAGACCCAGUUCUAGGCUCUUGCAGCCCUGGUAGAAAGCAAAACAAAAACUCCCGCUUUCCCAGAGGGUCACUUGGCAGGGGAAAGAAUCAGGAAAUAAAAUAAAUAAUGAA
rnacentral:misc_RNA from 1 species